UAACAAUAUUGGCAAACCUAUCGAAAGAUAGGGACGCAAAGCUAUGGGUCUACAGUCGCUGGGCGACCAAGACUGCCAGGCCGCCAUG
rnacentral:ncRNA from 1 species